rnacentral:rRNA from 1 species
GAUGAACGCUAGCGAUAGGCUUAACACAUGCAAGUCGAGGGGCAGCAUGGUCUUAGCUUGCUAAGACUGAUGGCGACCGGCGCACGGGUGCGUAACGCGUAUGCAACUUGCCUCACAGAGGGGGAUAACCCGUCGAAAGACGGACUAAUACCGCGUACACUUGGAGGGAGGCAUCUCCCAUCAAGGAAAAGAAAUUCGCUGUGAGAUAGGCAUGCGUCCCAUUAGCUAGUUGGUGAGGUAACGGCUCACAAAGGCAACGAUGGGUAGGGGAACUGAGAGGUUGAACCCCCACACUGGUACUGAGACACGGACCAGACUCCUACGGGAGGCAGCAGUGAGGAAUAUUGGUCAAUGGGCGAGAGCCUGAACCAGCCAAGUCGCGUGAAGGAUGACUGUCUUAUGGAUUGUAAACUUCUUUUGUAGGGGAAUAAAGAACGGUACGUGUACCGUAGUGAAUGUACUCUACGAAUAAGCAUCGGCUAACUCCGUGCCAGCCGCCGCCGUAA